rnacentral:lncRNA from 1 species
CCUCCUACCUGUCUGUGAAGGUUAUCGUCAGCUUUUUGGAGCUCUGGGCAUCUGGUCUCCCUCUGACCUCUCGCAGUGCUUAUUGUCUUUGUCUCCGUUAUGGCAUCUUUACUGUUUUCUGGAGAUGCAUCUUGUUUCUGCCACUGGAAUUUGACCUGCUCAGAGUCUUGUGUUUUGCCAUCCUUGUAGUAUGAAGUGCCAUGAAGAAUGCAGGGUACACCCUGUAAUCAAAUAUUGGAUU